CAGCAGCCGCGGUAAUACGAAGGGGGCUAGCGUUGCUCGGAAUUACUGGGCGUAAAGGGCGCGUAGGCGGGUCGUUUAGUCAGAGGUGAAAUCCCGGGGCUCAACCCCGGAACUGCCUUUGAUACUGGCGACCUUGAGGAUGGGAGAGGUGAGUGGAACUCCGAGUGUAGAGGUGAAAUUCGUAGAUAUUCGGAAGAACACCAGUGGCGAAGGCGACUCACUGGCCCAUUUCUGACGCUGAGGCGCGAAAGCGUGGGGAGCAAACAGGAUUAGAUACCCCCGUAGUCCCUGUCUCUUAUAC
rnacentral:rRNA from 1 species